GGGAGCUAGCGUUGUUCGGAAUUACUGGGCGUAAAGCGCGCGUAGGCGGCUUUGUAAGUUAGAGGUGAAAGCCCGGAGCUCAACUCCGGAACUGCCUUUAAAACUGCAUCGCUUGAAUCCAGGAGAGGUGAGUGGAAUUCCGAGUGUAGAGGUGAAAUUCGUAGAUAUUCGGAAGAACACCAGUGGCGAAGGCGGCUCACUGGACUGGUAUUGACGCUGAGGUGCGAAAGCGUGGGGAGCAAACAGG
rnacentral:rRNA from 1 species